UGCCAGCCGCCGCGGUAAUACGGAGGGUGCAAGCGUUGUUCGGAAUUACCGGGCGUAAAGCGCGCGUAGGCGGUUUUGUAAGUCGGAUGUGAAAUCCCUGGGCUUAACCUGGGAACUGCAUUCGAUACUGCAUAACUAGAGUACGGUAGAGGGUAGUGGAAUUUCUUGUGUAGCGGUGAAAUGCGUAGAUAUAGGAAGGAACACCAGUGGCGAAGGCGACUACCUGGGCCAAUACUGACGCUGAGGCGCGAAAGCGUGGGUAGCAAACAGGAUUAGAUA
rnacentral:rRNA from 1 species